AAUUAUAAGCAAUUUAUAGGAUUCAAACUCAGGUGUAAAGAUGAAUGAAUAUAAUGGAGGAUUGCUUGGAAUUUCAGAAUGAAAAUGUUCUCAAUAUAAUAAAUUAUCAAAGAGCAUGGGAAAGUCAAUACAUGUGAUAUGGUUCAAAAGGCCAAUUUUUGUUUUCUCAUCCAUGUGUAUGCAUGUAUAUGUCUGUGUUAUUAGUUAUUAAAUAUGUUAGCAAGUGAUGCAGUUAAAUUCCAUCUAGUAUGUAUUAUGUAUACUUUAAUGAAUAUCUUAUCUUUGCUUCUAAUUUUGAUGGAGAUAGAUAUAGUAAGCCAUUGGAUAGAGUGACAAAUAAGUUUUUAGGUUUCGAGAAUAUUAAAUUAUCUUCGAGGGUGCCCUCAUUGGAGCUGGGCCAAUUCUCACUGGUUCUUACCCUUCUCGACAAAAGAUGUAAAGGUUCUAAGCAUACAUAACAUAUCUAGGUUCUAGUGACUGAGAUGCAUGAUUUGCAGGUACUGGAUGCCAAGUCGACCAUAUGCUUUUGGCUGUGUACUGCGAUUGAGGACAUCAUCUGAAUUCAAAACUGGCCAUUCUUAUGGUCACUUCUUUCCAGAUCCACAGUAUGAGAAUGUUCAACACAUUAUCUGUUGUGAUUCUUACGCCACAUAUGCUUAUGACUUGGAGUUUGAAGCUACCAAGGAAUUUGCAAAGUUCUCAUGGCAAAAAGA